rnacentral:rRNA from 1 species
AUUAGAGUUUGAUCCUGGCUCAGGAUGAACGCUAGCGGCAGGCCUAAUACAUGCAAGUCGAGGGGCAGCAUAGAGUAGCAAUACUUUGAUGGCGACCGGCGCACGGGUGCGUAACACGUAUGUAAUCUGCCCUUGUCAGGGGGAUAGCCCGGAGAAAUCCGGAUUAACACCCCAUGGUCUAUUUGGGAGGCACCUCUUGAAUAGUAAAAUUCCGAUGGACAAGGAUGAACAUGCGACUGAUUAGUUAGUUGGUGAGGUAACGGCUCACCAAGACCACGAUCAGUAGGGGUACUGAGAGGUUAAACCCCCACACUGGUACUGAGACACGGACCAGACUCCUACGGGAGGCAGCAGUAAGGAAUAUUGGACAAUGGAGGCAACUCUGAUCCAGCCAUGCCGCGUGCAGGAAGAAGGACCUAUGGUUUGUAAACUGCUUUUGUAACAGGGAAAACCCCUCUACGUGUAGAGGGUUGAUAGUAUGUUAAGAAUAAGCAUCGGCUAACUUCGUGCCAGCAGCCGCGGUAAUACGAAGGAUGCAAGCGUUAUCCGGAUUUAUUGGGUUUAAAGGGUGCGUAGGCGGCCUUGUAAGUCAGUGGUGAAAUACGGCAGCUUAACUGUCGAGGUGCCAUUGAUACUGCAGGGCUAGAGUACAGAUGCCGUUGGCGGAAUGUGUCAUGUAGCGGUGAAAUGCAUAGAUAUGACACAGAACACCGAUUGCGAAGGCAGCUGACGAAACUGUAACUGACGCUGAGGCACGAAAGCGUGGGGAUCAAACAGGAUUAGAUACCCUGGUAGUCCACGCCCUAAACUAUGAUUACUCGUUGUUGGCGAUAUACAGCCGGUAACUAAGCGAAAGCGUUAAGUAAUCCACCUGGGGAGUACGCCCGCAAGGGUGAAACUCAAAGGAAUUGACGGGGGCCCGCACAAGCGGAGGAGCAUGUGGUUUAAUUCGAUGGUACGCGAGGAACCUUACCCGGGCUUGAAAGUUAGUGACCGACUCUGAAAGGAGUUUUUCCGUAAGGACACGAAACUAGGUGCUGCAUGGCUGUCGUCAGCUCGUGCCGUGAGGUGUUGGGUUAAGUCCCGCAACGAGCGCAACCCCUACUUCCAGUUGCCAACACGUAAUGGUGGGGACUCUGGAGGAACUGCCCGCGCAAGCGGAGAGGAAGGUGGGGACGACGUCAAGUCAUCACGGCCCUUACGUCCGGGGCUACACACGUGCUACAAUGGCCACUACAGAGGGCAGCUACCUGGCAACAGGAUGCUAAUCCAUCAAAAGUGGUCUCAGUUCGGAUUGGGGUCUGCAACUCGACCCCAUGAAGCUGGAUUCGCUAGUAAUCGCGCAUCAGCAAUGGCGCGGUGAAUACGUUCCCGGGCCUUGUACACACCGCCCGUCAAGCCAUGAAAGCUGGGAGUAUCUAAAGUAGGUUGCUGUAAAGGCGCCUCCUAGGGUAAAACCGGUGAUUGGGGCUAAGUCGUAACAAGGUAGCCGUAAAU